CCCGGAAACCGGUACCCUCUUUGUAACGGCCCAAACUGCUCGACACUAGGAUCCAGAUCGGCUUAAGGCCGCCGGGACCCGUAGUAAGCCUGCUAUGAACUCUGUGUACCUGUUAAAAUCCCAUACAUGAUCCGACUGGACUAUUACUUUUUUAAAACUUGUCUUUAAAACUACCAGACUUAACCUUUAAAACACUGUCCUAUAGGUCCAACCAUAUGAACCAAAUGCUCAGAUAUACUAAUCUGAACUAGCCCUCUGGCUAUCUAUAAUACACCAGUGAUGCUUUACCAAGUAACCUCCAUACCCUAUGCGCUCUGCAGCAUAGAACCCACUCUGUAAGGGUCAGCAUAUCAUAAGUUAACUUGGUUACCAUAGAGUCACAGGAAUCAAACCUGGUCUUCUCUAGUGGUCUGCUCUGUGGAUCACAGGAAUCAAACCUGGUCUUUCCUAUUGCACUGGUCUUGGGUCAAAGGAAGUAAUCCCUGUCUUCCCUCACAGUUAUAAUUCACUGGGUUUUCGAAACACAACAUGUUAUUAAGCCUGGUUUGACUCAUUGCUCAUCAUUAAACUGAAAACAGGAUACAUGCAUAAACAAGGGAUUAACAUACACUAGACAAUAGGCAAAAGCACAUUCUAAUACAUUUAUACCUUGACUGACUAACUAUUACAUCACUUUACAUAUAUCCUGUUACAUAUAUCAUGUCCACACUAUGCUAUACACAAACAUACUGAAGCCAACACUCUGAUGCUUCUGACUUCCCAGCUAACCCUGUACCUGCAAAACUGGGAUUAAGGGAAAGGGAUGAGCUUCUAAAGCCCAGUGAGUAGAAACAUUGAAAACAGUUCAUUCAUACGCACUAUAUAUGAAAAUGCAUCACAACACAAGCAUCUCAAUAUAUCUUGGAUUAGACAUGACCCCAAAACUCCUUCGACGGGCUAUUGAAGUCGCCUUGGUCCAAUCCCCACUAAGGUAGACAUGACCCCAAAAAUACCCUCUGUCAACACUGGCCCCCCAAAGGAG
rnacentral:lncRNA from 1 species